rnacentral:misc_RNA from 1 species
GUAAAAUGCAAGCAAUCAUAUCUUAAUGUUGCUUUUAAAGGAAACCACAUUACACUUAAAAAGAUUGCAGGACUUAACUACAAUUCUUUUUCUUCCAAUAUAUAUAUAACAUCUUCCUACCACAAUCUCAGUACAUUAUUUUUUUAAUAGUGUAGGUAAGAAGAUGGAUACUUUUAGAUUAGAAUGACCGCUUAAGGAGCGUAGCCACCACCGUGUCCACCACCUUCACCACCUCCAGCACCUCCUCCGUAACCACCAGCAUGCUCUCCACCGGCAUAGGCUCCACCACCACCGGCACCACUACCACCGCCUCCACCAUAUGCUCCUCCAUGUGCUCCUCCUGCACCACCACCAGCUCCUCCUCCACUACCAUAUCCACCACCUGAGGCUCCUCCUUCUCCUCCAGCAUACGCA